GUGGCGAAAGUGCCGGCAGAGCCGGAGGCCCGCUCCCGGAGACGCCGCCUCGCGAUCCCCGCGCGGGCGGGACCGGGCGGCCGGCGUCAUGACCCUGUUUCACUUCGGGAACUGCUUCGCUCUUGCCUACUUCCCCUACUUCAUCACCUACAAGUGCAGCGGCCUGUGAGUGCGGGAAGGGCGCGGGGCGGAGAGGGCGCGGGGCCCGGGCCGACCCUCACCUCCCGCUUCUCCAGGUCCGAGUACAACGCCUUCUGGAAAUGCGUCCAGGCUGGAGUCACCUACCUCUUUGUCCAACUCUGCAAGGUGAGGGCCACCGGGAAGCCACGUGUUCUGGCCCCCAGGCUCUGCAGACCCAGGGACCCGCCCCCGUUGCCUAUCCGCGCCCCCGCCGCCCCACGGUGGGACCGCCCUCGGGACUCCGCAUUGGGAGGCGUCAGGAUACCUAGAGAGGAUGGACUUUAAAGAGGGCACGACCUGAGAAGAGACCUAGAAGCAACUUUUGCGUAGCACUUAGUAAAACUGAGAAAACCUCAGUAGUGUGGUUGGCUAACAGGUUUUUUUUGGUGCGGUUAAGAGUGAUCACUGAUUCCGUACGUGCUGCUAACACUGCCCAGGGAGCAGCACCUUCAG
rnacentral:sRNA from 1 species